rnacentral:miRNA from 1 species
CGUGUGUGUGUGUGUGUGUGUGUGUGUGUGUGUGCUGCAAGGCAGGUAUCUUAGCAGACAGACAGACGAC